rnacentral:rRNA from 1 species
GUGAACGCUGGCGGUAGGCCUAACACAUGCAAGUCGAACGGCAGCACAGUAAGAGCUUGCUCUUACGGGUGGCGAGUGGCGGACGGGUGAGGAAUACAUCGGAAUCUACUUUUUCGUGGGGGAUAACGUAGGGAAACUUACGCUAAUACCGCAUACGACCUACGGGUGAAAGCAGGGGAUCUUCGGACCUUGCGCGAUUGAAUGAGCCGAUGUCGGAUUAGCUAGUUGGCGGGGUAAAGGCCCACCAAGGCGACGAUCCGUAGCUGGUCUGAGAGGAUGAUCAGCCACACUGGAACUGAGACACGGUCCAGACUCCUACGGGAGGCAGCAGUGGGGAAUAUUGGACAAUGGGCGCAAGCCUGAUCCAGCCAGACCGCGUGGGUGAAGAAGGCCUUCGGGUUGUAAAGCCCUUUUGUUGGGAAAGAAAAGCAGCAGGUUAAUACCCCGCUGUUCUGACGGUACCCAAAGAAUAAGCACCGGCGAACUUCGU